rnacentral:rRNA from 1 species
UACGAAGGGGACUAGCGUUGUUCGGAAUCACUGGGCGUAAAGCGCACGUAGGCGGAUAUGUCAGUCAGGGGUGAAAUCCCGGGGGCUCAACCUCGGAACUGCCUUUGAUACAGCAUAUCUUGAGUCCGAUAGAGGUGGGUGGAAUUCCUAGUGUAGAGGUGAAAUUCGUAGAUAUUAGGAAGAACACCGGUGGCGAAGGCGGCCCACUGGAUCGGUACUGACGCUGAGGUGCGAAAGCGUGGGGAGCAAACAGG